rnacentral:rRNA from 1 species
AGAUUGAACGCUGGCGGCAUGCCUUACACAUGCAAGUCGAACGGCAGCACGGGAGCAAUCCUGGUGGCGAGUGGCGAACGGGUGAGUAACACAUCGGAACGUGCCCAAUCGUGGGGGAUAACGCAGCGAAAGCUGUGCUAAUACCGCAUAAGAUCUACGGAUGAAAGCAGGGGAUCGCAAGACCUUGCGCGAAUGGAGCGGCCGAUGGCAGAUUAGGUAGUUGGUGAGGUAAAGGCUCACCAAGCCUUCGAUCUGUAGCUGGUCUGAGAGGACGACCAGCCACACUGGGACUGAGACACGGCCCAGACCUCCUACGGGAGGCAGCAGUGGGGAAUUUGGAC